rnacentral:tRNA from 1 species
UCCCUGGUGGCCUAGUGGUUAAGGAUUCAGUAUUAUCACUCCUGUGGCUCAGGUUCUAGCCCUGGCCCGGGAA